AGCCCUCCCAACACCAACAUACAUCAUCUACAUACUUGAGCACGCAUCAACAACAGCGACAAGAACCACGAUGACUACUACUGUCAGGGCAAGCAGCAGAGGCUUUGUGGCGCUGUGCUUCGCAUCCCUCCUCCUCUUCUCAUCGUUUGCUGCUGCCGAAACCUCCGAUGCUUACACGAGGAUCUGUAUACCCGGGCCUUGCCCGAACCCGGCAGGUCCAGCAGUGCCAGGAUACGGUGGUAGUCCGCCAGUGCCAGGAUACGGUGGUGGUCAACCAGCGCCAGGCUACGGUGGGAAGCCGUGAAGAAUGCCGUCGGUCCUGCGCCAACACCAUGCAUGAGCACCUACGCAAAAUAACGACUUCCGGGUGCAUUAGCUAGUUUAUUAUAUAUAGUCGUAUGUAAGUGAAUAAAAUGAUCGGUAGUCAGCGUGGUGUGCUUGUCUGGACACAUAGCUACCACAGAUAGCAACAGGUCGGUAUACUGUAAUCAAAGCAUAUGUUGGCCUUGUUUUGGCAGGGUCCAGAUAUCUUCGAGAUGUCAAAUCUUUUUUAAUAAAGGAAGUUUUAUUAAUUUUGAACAGAA